UGCGUUCUUCUGACGCCGAGGAGAUUAUUUCUGCUUCAUUAUAAAGCUAACUUCUUCAAUAUAAAUAUAUUUUUCCAAUUUCCCUUCUUUUUCAUCUUACUUUCUUCCGUAUUCCUAAAAUCAAAAUCGUUACAUUCAUCAUAAUACAUUGAAGAAUUUCGCUACCCAGAUUUCAACCCUAAUUAAUCGCUACCCAGAUUUCAACCCUAAUUAAUGGCGGGAGUGUUCGGGCAAGUUUCUGGUUCCUUUGGGGCGUCAAGUGAGUUUGGAAAUGCUGCUGGUAAUUCGAGCAAUCCGUUUGCUAUUAAUACAACAGGGACUACAAAUUUCCCAAGUUUUUCGACCCAAGGGUCAGGCUUUGGGGGUUGUACAACCAAUGCAUUUGGUGCAACAUCUUGUUUGUUCGGGAAUGCUAGCAAUUUGAGUAACUCGUUUUCCCCUAAUUCAUCAGGGACUACAAAUUUCCCAAGUUUUUCGACCCAAGGGUCAGGCUUUGGGGGUGGUACAGCCGAUGUAUUUGGAGCAACAUCUAGUUCCUUUGUGAAUUCAAGCAAUCCGACUAACUUGUUUACCCCUAAUACAACUGUGACUACAAGUUUUUCAACCCAAGGGCCAGUUUUUGGGGGCAGUACAACCAAUGUAUUUGGAGCAACAUCUAGUUCAUUCAAUGCUAGCAAUUUGAGCAAUCAUUUUUCCCCUAAUACAACGAGGACUACAAAUUUCCCAAGUUCUUCAACCCAAGGGUCGGGCUUUGGGAGUGGUACAACCAGUGUAUUUGGAGCAACAUCUAGUUCGUUUGGCAAUGCUAGUAAUUUGUUAGCCCCUAAUACAGCAGGGACUACAAAUUUCACAAGUUUACCGACCCAGAGAUCAGUUUUUGGGGGUAGCACAGUCAGUGUGUUUGGAGUGUCAUCGUCUUCAUUGGGAACAUCACGUGAGGGAAAUGCUAGCAGUUCGAGUAAUCCGUUUUCUCUUCAAAAUCAGGGGUCAUUUUGGAGUGGUGCGGCCAAUGUAUUUGGAGCACCAUCGUCUUCCUCAAACUUCUCGUUUGGACAAACAUCUGGUUCUACCAAUUCAAAUCAUAAUGCUUCUCUCAAUGCAUUUGGGGCUGCUAGCAGUCCGAGUUCCAAUCCAUUUGCUCCUAGUACAUUCGGGACUACUACUUCCCCAAGUUUCACAAGCAACGGAUCAUUUUUUGGUGGGAAUUCAACAGGUGAAUUUGGUGUGCGGUCGGCUUCUUCCCCAUCCUUCACGUUUGGGAAACCAGCUGCUAUCUUUAAAUCAUCAACAGUUGCAACCACAAGCAUUGGAAGUCAUGGUCCAAACGGCUCUACAUCAGGGGGAGCAUUUAGAGGGCCAUCUUCUUCAUUGUUUGGACAAGGUUCUGGUUCCUCUGCAUCAUCAACUUCAUUUCUGACUUCUCCUGCCCCCUUCUGGUUUGGGAAUAAAGCAGGUACUUCCGGACCAUCUGCAGAGGUUGGGUUUACCAGUAAUAAGAGUAACAAUGUUGCGGUUAUGCCGUUAACUUCAAAUUUCCCUGGAACAACGCAUGCCAAUCUAUUUUCAACUUCCAGUUCUGCAGCUUCCUCAUCAUUACCAGCAGGAGACGGAUACAGAAAUAAACAGUAUAAGCAUACUAUUAUAAAGGAAGAUUCCAAAAGUUACAAACUAAUGUCAGUAUCAGGCAUGCCUUUUUAUGAAAGUAAAAGCCAUGAAGAAUUGAGAUGGGAGGACUAUGAGCUGAAAUAUGGAAGCCAGUGGAAUUCAGUUGGUAACCAGGCACAAGAGAUUAACAACCAGAAAUUAGACUUCUGUCUUCCUUCAGCUACUAGCUCCUUGGAUAUCCUUAGUCCAUCCCCCACAAAUAUGAGUACUUCUACUUUCUCAUUCCCUUGUCUACCUAGUCCAGACCCAUCACCAAAUCUAUCUGCAUUUCAUGGAUGUCACCAAAUCACUGCAAGUGUUUUAAAUAAACAGCCGCUACAGAAUCCUCAGUUACCAACUCAAGAUGUAGGACUGCAGCCUAAUCACUUAUUAGAAUCGGUACUAAAAACCCACUCACCGUACAAUGGAAAUUCAGCGAGCCAUACGAUUCAAGCACCAUCUCUCUGGACAGUACCUCCUGUGAGUCCUGCCUCAACAGGGAAUAAUGGGGGCGCUUCACUUGAUGCUGGUUUACCCCGGAUCGGUCUUCAACAACAGUUGACUGCGCCAGGCAAGGUCAUGGACAGCAUUAUAGCGGUGAAAGAUCCUUUCGGAUCUGAACCUGCAAGAUCCUGGCCAUUUUUUGGACACUCUGCCUGUUUGCCAUUCGCUCAUCCUGGAAUCUCGAGCAUGCCUGUGUCUAAUAAACCUGCAAAAACUAGAGGCUCAUCUUAUUUUACAUCAAGGCACCAUUCACUCAAGCCGUUGGCAUUGCAUGUCAGGAAAUAUCAUCCUAGCACUGAUGGUCCAAAGGUGCCAUUCUUUGAUCCGGCUGAUGAUAUUCAAUAUACAAGCAAGGCAUAUAGUUAUAUAGUUCCGAGGGAGAAUCCCAGGUCAGUAAUUGCUGCUUCCACUGGCCCGACCCAUGUCAGUGCUCCCGAAAACGAGGCAUCUCCGCUGAAUCAUUCAUCUGCUGUGGAUUAUGAGGAGUGACCAACGAUCGGGGAGCCUGAUUGGAGCCGGUGAACGUUUGGAUGGACUUUACUACUUUCGGAGGAUCCCUACAGUAUGUGCGGUGACGGUACCGGGAGUUUCAGAUUUUGAGCUUUGGCAUAGGAGAAUGGGACAUCCGUCUGAUCGUGUUGUCAAGUUAGUACCUGCAGUUAGUGAUAGUGUUGGUCGUAAAAGUUUGAAUAAAGCUUGUGAUGUUUGUCCUCAAGCGAAACAAUCUCGUCUUUCAUUUCCUAAUAGUGAUAGUAGAGCUAGUCGUAAUUUUGAAAUGAUUCAUUGUGAUUUAUGGGGGUCGUAUCGAACUCCUUCUAGUUGUGGUGCACAAUAUUUCUUAACAUUGGUUGAUGAUUUUUCACGUGGAGUUUGGGUUUAUUUAUUGAAAUCUAAAACUGAGGUUUAUUCCGCAUUCUGUUCUUUUUUUUUCCAUGAUUGAACGGCAAUUUGAGACAUCUGUUAAGAUUGUCCGGAGUGAUAACGGAACCGAAUUCAAAUGCAUGCUUCCUUAUUUUGAUAAGUCUGGAAUUAUUUUUGAAACAUCUUGUGUUGGUACUCCGCAACAGAAUGGUCGAGUUGAGCGGAAACACCAACAUAUCUUAAAUGUUGCUCGUGCUCUAAUGUUCCAAGGGAACCUUCCUGUUCGGUUUUGGGGUGAAUGUGUUCUUGGUGCAGUCUACUUGAUUAACCGUACUCCAUCUCGAUUGUUGAAAAAUAAAACUCCUUACGAACUGUUGUUUGGAAAAGAACCUAGUUUGAUAAUUUGAACGUCUUUGGGUGUCUUGGGUAUGCUCAUAAUCAAAAAACAAAUGGUGACAAAUUUGCUUCACGGAGUCGGAAAUGUGUUUUUGUGGGUUACCCUCAUGGAAAAAAGGGGUGGAAAAUGUACGAUCUUGUAACGGGUGAAAUCUUCGUGUCUCGGGAUGUUGUGUUUCAUGAAACCGAAUUUCCAUUUCUCAAUGAUGAGUUACUUACAAAUGCAGCAACUCCUAAUAUGGGAAGUGAGAAUAAUGUUGGGGUGGAUAUGGAUUUUUUGUUGGACUUAGAAUCUGUUUUGGACGUCCAUGAGGACAUCGCUGCCAGCCGCGACGAGGAAGACCAGGUCCGUACCAAUGAGGUGCCGCACACUCCCAUGUCUGCAUCACCCUCUCACACGACCACCAUGCCUAGCCCAGCGUCUUCCUGCUCCUCUGGCCACACUACGCCUACGGGUAGUAUAGUGGCCACGCCUACUGCUACUCCUGUUCUACCGUCCCCUGAGUGUGCUCCGGGCAGCAGCUCGCCCGCAACUAUUGCCUUAGGUUGUGGUCUUCGGGAACGUAAACCCCCUGGUUGGCACCGAGAUUAUGUUGCACAUACUGUACCCACAAGUCCAUGUAGCAGUUCAUUGUUGCCUCCUAGCUCCUCAGGUAUUCCCUAUCCUAUAGCACACUUUGUGAAUUGUAAUAAUUUUUCAAUGCGACACCGUACUUUUCUUGCAGCUGUAAUGGCAGGUCUUGAACCCCGUACUUUUAAUGAGGCCAUGAAGCAUCCAGGUUGGAGGGAAGCUAUGGAAAAGGAGGUUGAUGCGUUGGAAGAUAAUGAAACCUGGGUAAUGGAAGAACUACCUCUGGGUAAGAAGGCUCUUGGGUGUCGUUGGGUCUAUAAAAUUAAAUUUCAUGCUGAUGGGAAGAUAGAACGGCUUAAAGCACGCCUAGUCAUCUUUGGGAACCAUCAAGUUGAGGGGAUUGAUUAUAAUGAGACGUUUCCCCCGUAGCAAAGAUGGUCACCGUUCGUGCUUUCUUGGGCGUGGCGGCCGCCAAGAACUGGGAACUUCAUCAGAUGGACGUCCACAACGCCUUCUUACAUGGGGACCUUGAUGAGGAGGUCUACAUGAAACCUCCCCCCGGCUACCGUGGUAAUAAAGAAGGGAUGGUGUGUCGUCUGAAAAAGUCUUUAUAUGGCCUCCGUCAAGCUCCUAGGUGUUGGUUUGCCAAGCUAGCAGGCUCUCUCAAACGGUAGAGACAAUGCUAAGAAAGCACAAAUCAGCAGUUCCGCACUCAACUCUCACAAAGAUGAUUUUUCUGACAAUGCAAAAGAGAUGAACGAGUUGUUGAUUCCAAAGCUUCAACGCGCUGAUUAUUACACAGAGCCCA